AUUGAACGCUGGCGGCAGGCCUAACACAUGCAAGUCGAACGAGUGGCGGACGGGUGAGUCAUGUCUGGGAAACUGCUCGAUGGAGGGGGAUAACUACUGGAAACGGUAGCUAAUACCGCAUACCAUCGGAUGUGCCCAGAGGGGAUUAGCUAGUGGGUGGGGUAACGGAUCACCUAGGCGACGAUCCCUAGCUGGUCUGAGAGGUUGACCAGCCACACUGGAACUGAGACACGGUCCAGAAACCUACGGGAGGCAGCAGUGGGGAAUAUUGCACAAUGAGCGCAAGCCUGAAGCAGCCAUGCCGCGUGUAUGAGGAAGGAAUUCGGGUUGUAAAGUACUGUCAGCGAGGAGGCGUUACUCGCAGAAGAAGCACCGGCUAACUCCGUGCCAGCAGCCGCGGUAAUUC
rnacentral:rRNA from 1 species